UACGGAGGGUGCGAGCGUUGUCCGGAAUCAUUGGGCGUAAAGGGCGCGUAGGUGGCCCGGUCAGUCUUUGGUGAAAGCGCGGGGCUCAACCCUGCGUCGGCCAGGGAUACUGCCGCGGCUCGAGCACUGUAGAGGCAGGCGGAAUCCGGGUGUAGCGGUGGAAUGCGUAGAGAUCCGGAAGAACACCGGUGGCGAAGGCGGCCUGCUGGGCAGUUUGCUGACACUGAGGCGCGACAGCGUGGGGAGCA
rnacentral:rRNA from 1 species